rnacentral:lncRNA from 1 species
UGUGUGUGUGUGUGUGUGUGGGUAUGGUGAAGAAGUACACACACUGAGAGAAAAAACUGACCAAAGUGAACCAGAACGGUAUUCUGUAAGAGAAGCGGAGAGUUUUUUCUUGGGAAGGCAUUAUAUCAAACUGUUGAAACAGUCUAGAACUUCAGAGUUUGAUUGUGAAUUAUAAGCAACCCAAUGGUUUCUUUUUUAUUCUAAUCUUAUUUACAGUGUUAGAUUUCUGAGGCAAGUAUUCUAAAUUCUGUCUCAAGUAGUCUCACUCAUUUCAUUCAGUGUUUAGUAGAUGUAUAUUGAGCUUCUAUUAACUGAAAUAUAAGGAGGAAAAGAGAUAAGUAAGCUGUCAAUUAUAAUAGAGUACUGCAAAUUGAUAAAGAUUUAUGGCUUCCUUCUAACCAUAUUAAUUGAAGUUUUCUGACAUUUCACAAGGUUUGGAAAUGGACCAGAUGGCAUAAAGAUGCAAGUUUGUACCCUGAUUUUAAGCAUAUUAAUGGUAGAAAUAUAAAAAUACUGGUUUCUGUGCCUACUAUUAAUGGUAAGAUAAACCACUGUCAGAUUUCUCUUUACAUUCUGAAGCCUGGGCACAAGAAUUUUCUGUUUUUAAGUAUGUGUCAUUUCAUCAGUUGUCUUUGAAGCAGUAGCAGUAAGGUCUAUAUUUCACGAACCUGUGAAAAUGUUUUCAACACCAGGUUAGUGUGUUACACCAAAUGAACUGUUUUUACCCUUUGUUGAGAAAUAGAGGGACAGUAAGCAUCUUGGCUGCUUCUGGUUAUUGCCUGAGUUCUGCAGAACUUUGGUUUUUAAGUCUUCUACAAUGCCAUUGCUGAUUGCAACCCUCUUUUCUCCUCAGAGAAGAGCUGUGGCUCAGAGAUCUGCACACUCUGCUGUUGAGUGGCUUGAAGAAGGAAGGAAACUGUUAAAGAUCGAAAUCCGUAGUCCACAUCAGCAGAUAUUUCUGUGACCCGUCAGUUCCUUUGGGAAGAGUGCCAGUUAGAUCCUCAUAAACCCCAUCUACUGCUGAUGAACACUCUUUAGCAAUUAUCAAUCUCGUGACCAAGGAGAUCCAGCCUCCAGGUUGUUCACAGGCAGCAGCAGUAGAAACUGCUGGUGAGAGACAGUGAGGAACAGAAAGAAGUCGCACCAAGAAAAAGAUCAGGUGGAUCCCAUUGAAAAUUCAUACUGCAUAUCUGAAAUUAAAAU